rnacentral:rRNA from 1 species
AACGAACGCUGGCGGCAUGCCUAACACAUGCAAGUCGAACGAGACCUUCGGGUUUAGUCGCGCAUGGGUGAGUAAAGCGUGGGAACAUGCCCUUAGGCUCGGAAAAACUCCCUGUAAGGGGUGCUAAUACCGGUUAAUGUCUUCCGACCAAAGAUUUGACGCCAUUGGAUGGGCCCGCGUUGGAUUAGCUAGUUGGUAGGGUAAAAGCCUAUCAAGGCUACGAUCCAUAGAUGGUCGGAGAGGAUGUCCUGCCACGCUUGAACUGAGACACGGCCCAGAAUACUACGAGAUGCAGCAGUGGGGAAUAUUGGAAGAUGGACGAGAUUCUGAUCGCGCAAUGCCGCGUAAGUGAUGUAGGGCUUAGGGUUGUGAAUCUCUUUAACCCGGGAUGAUUAUGACGGUACCGGGAGAAUAAGCUCCGGCUAACUCCGUG